AUCACAGCCUUUCUCUCAGGACCCUCCAGUGGGUCUUGACUCCUUUAGAACAGAAAGGGGGUCUGCUGUACUCAUGUCUGUGCGCCCCUCAGCAUCCACGGCGGUCUUCAGUGGAUAUCAACCUCUAGGUUCCUCUUCAUUUUAGCCAGGGAGAUAAAUGUUCUUUAUCUUCUGACUAUCAGAGGAUUUUCUGUUUGUAAUGGAUGAUUUUCUUCAAGGUGCCUUGGGCUCCAAAUGGCAUAAUUGAUAUUUACUGUGUUUUUCUAGGUUGUCAGGCUGUGAUUUUAGCGGCGUCCUGAGCUCCUGUGGAGAUUUGCCUCUCUCCAGCCUUGGGCCAUCUGCAUUCCUUAACAUCUCUGGGCCCAGAAGGAAAAGGAGAAUGCUGACCAGCUCUGGGAAUGGUCUGAAUGAGGAGAGCACGGUUCCUGGCGGCGGUGGCCUCGGUCCGCAAACAGCCUUGUCCGCAAUGUGCCCAACACGUUGGAAACCUUCUCUUCCCGCAGCUCAGGAUAGAAAACGCAGUCCCGGGGUGGAGUGUGAGUAUCGUUUCCCCAGGGCUGGGGGAAGGGCUCGGCAGACGGUGAGUCAGGGUUUUGCAAAUGUAUGUUUACGCUGGUG
rnacentral:lncRNA from 1 species